CUACGGGUGGCUCCAGUGAGGAAUAUUGCACAAUGGGGGGAACCCUGAUGCAGCAACGCCGCGUGGAGGAUGACGCAUUUCGGUAUGUAAACUCCUUUUAUAUGUCAGGAAAAUGACGGUAGCAUAUGAAUAAGCACCGGCUAACUCCGUGCCAGCAGCCGCGGUAAUACGGAGGGUGCAAGCGUUACUCGGAAUCACUGGGCGUAAAGGACGCGUAGGCGGGUUGGAAAGUCAGGUGUGAAAUCCUACAGCCUAACUGUAGAACUGCACUUGAAACUUCUAAUCUAGAGUAUGGGAGGGGGAGAUGGAAUUAGUGGUGUAGGGGUAAAAUCCGUAGAUAUCACUAGGAAUACCUAAAGCGAAGGCGAUCUCCUGGAACAUUACUGACGCUAAGGCGUGAAAGCGUGGGGAGCAAACAGGAUUAGAUACCCCCGUAGUC
rnacentral:rRNA from 1 species